rnacentral:rRNA from 1 species
AGCAGUAGGGAAUCUUCGGCAAUGGACGAAAGUCUGACCGAGCAACGCCGCGUGAGUGAAGAAGGUUUUCGGAUCGUAAAACUCUGUUGGUAGAGAAGAACGUUGGUGAGAGUGGAAAGCUCAUCAAGUGACGGUAACUACCCAGAAAGGGACGGCUAACUACGUGCCAGCAGCCGCGGUAAUACGUAGGUCCCGAGCGUUGUCCGGAUUUAUUGGGCGUAAAGCGAGCGCAGGUGGUUUAUUAAGUCUGGUGUAAAAGGCAGUGGCUCAACCAUUGUAUGCAUUGGAAACUGGUAGACUUGAGUGCAGGAGAGGAGAGUGGAAUUCCAUGUGUAGCGGUGAAAUGCGUAGAUAUAUGGAGGAACACCGGUGGCGAAAGCGGCUCUCUGGCCUGUAACUGACACUGAGGCUCGAAAGCGUGGGGAGCAAACAGGAUUAGAUACCCUGGUAGUCCACGCCGUAAACGAUGAGUGCUAGAUGUAGGGAGCUAUAAGUUCUCUGUAUCGCAGCUAACG